GCAUAUCAAUAAGCGGAGGAAAAGAAACCAACCGGGAUUGCCUCAGUAACGGCGAGUGAAGCGGCAAGAGCUCAAAUUUGAAAUCUGGCCCCCUCGGGGUCCGAGUUGUAAUUUGCAGAGGAUGCUUCGGGUGCGGUCCCCAUCUAAGUGCCCUGGAACGGGCCGUCAUAGAGGGUGAGAAUCCCGUCUGGGAUGGGCGGCCGCGCCCGUGUGAAGCUCCUUCGACGAGUCGAGUUGUUUGGGAAUGCAGCUCUAAGCGGGUGGUAAAUUUCAUCUAAAGCUAAAUACUGGCCGGAGACCGAUAGCGCACAAGUAGAGUGAUCGAAAGAUGAAAAGCACUUUGAAAAGAGAGUUAAACAGCACGUGAAAUUGUUGAAAGGGAAGCGUUGUCCACCAGACUCGCCCGGGGGGGUUCAGCCGGCACGUGUGCCGGUGUACUCCUCUCCGGGCGGGCCAGCAUCGGUUUGGGCGGCUGGUGAAAGGCCCCGGGAAUGUACCACCCUCCGGGGUGUCUUAUAGCCCGGGGUGCCAUACAGCCAGCCUGGACCGAGGCCCGCGCUUCGGCGAGGAUGCUGGCGUAAUGGUGGUCAACGGCCCGUCUUGAAACACGGACCAAGGAGUCUAACAUCUAUGCGAGUGUUCGGGUGUCAAACCCGUCCGCGCAGUGAAAGCGAACGGAGGUGGGAGCCCCUCGGGGCGCACCAUCGACCGAUCCUGAUGUCUUCGGAUGGAUUUGAGUAAGAGCAUAGCUGUUGGGACCCGAAAGAUGGUGAACUAUGCCUGAAUAGGGCGAAGCCAGAGGAAACUCUGGUGGAGGCUCGCAGCGGUUCUGACGUGCAAAUCGAUCGUCAAAUUUGGGUAUAGGGGCGAAAGACUAAUCGAACCAUCUGGUAGCUGGUUCCUGCCGAA
rnacentral:rRNA from 1 species